AGUAUUGGGUGGUAGAGAGAGAGAGAGAACAUGAAUAGUAUUGGGUGGUAGAGAGAGAGAACAUGAAUAGUAUUGGGUGGUAGAGAGAGAGAGAGAGAACAUGAAUAGUAUUGGGUGAGAGAGAGAGAGAACAUGAAUAGUAUUGGGUGGUAGAGAGAGAGAGAGAGAACAUGAAUAGUAUUGGGUGGUAGAGAGAGAGAGAGAGAACAUGAAUAGUAUUGGGUGGUAGAGAGAGAGAGAGAGAGAACAUGAAUAGUAUUGGGUGGUAGAGAGAGAGAGAGAACAUGAAUAGUAUUGGGUGGUAGAGAGAGAGAGAGAGAACAUGAAUAGUAUUGGGUGGUAGAGAGAGAGAGAGAACAUGAAUAGUAUUGGGUGGUAGAGAGAGAGAGAGAACAUGAAUAGUAUUGGGUGGUAGAGAGAGAACAUGAAUAGUAUUGGGUGGUAGAGAGAGAGAGA
ensembl:lncRNA